rnacentral:rRNA from 1 species
GACGAACGCUGGCGGCGUGCCUAAUACAUGCAAGUAGGACGCAGUUGCGAACGGGUGAGUAACGCGUAGGUAACUGCCUAUUAGAGGGGGAUAACUAUUGGAAACGAUAGCUAAUACCGCAUACUAGUAGAUGGACCUGCGUUGUAUUAGUUAGUAGGUAGGGGAAUGGCCUACCUAGGCGACGAGACAUAGCCGACCGGAGAGUGUGUGCGGCCACACUGGGACUGAGACACGGCCCAGACUCCGACGGGAGGCAGCAGGAGGGAAUCUUCGGCAAUGGUGGGAUCCCUGACCUAGCAACGCCGCGUGAGUGAGGAAGGUUGUCGGAUCGUAAAGCUCUGUUGUUAAGGAAGCGGUACUUAACCAGAACGGGACGGCUAACUACGUGCCAGCAGCCGCGGUAAUAC